UGAGGAAUAUUGGUCAAUGGGCGGAAGCCUGAACCAGCCAUCCCGCGUGCAGAAAGACAGACCUAUGGGUGGUAAACUGCUUUUCCAGUGGGCGAAACACUCGUACGUGUACGAGCUUGACGGUACACUGGGAAUAAGCAUCGGCUACCUCCGUGCCAGCAGCCGCGGUAAUACGGAGGAUGAAAGCGUUACCCGGAUUUAUUGGGUUUAAAGGGUGCGUAGGCGGAUGAAUAAGUCAGUGGUGAAAGGCUGCAGCUUAACUGUAGACUUGCCGUGGAUACUAGUUAUCUUGAGUAUGGUCAAGGCAAGCGGACUGUGUAAUGUAGCGGUGAAAUGCUUAGAUAUUACACAGAACACCGAUUGCGAAGGCAGCUUGCUGGGCCAUUACUGACG
rnacentral:rRNA from 1 species